GGAAUGGAUGUACAGUAGUAACUAAGUACAUUUAUGUUAUGAUUUAUAACAAAGUACUGAAAUAUCCUACUCGAGUAGAAGUACUGUUACUUUAAUUACAUUUGACUAAAGUUUCUGUAAAAUGACUGACUUAAAAACACUCAACCUACAAGUACUCGGAUAAACGAAUUAAUUAGUAUAGAGAGUAGUUGGAAUUAGUUACUUUACACCUCUGCAAAAAAAACAUAAACUAGCAGAAUAUGUAAUGAUGCCUGAGUCGUUCGUGAUUGGGAAUAUUUAAUUAUUCAGAGUGAUUCACUUGAAUGAAGUAGAACGCCUAAAGAGGAAAUAAACUACUACACUGCCCACAAAUAAUUUUGAUUAGAAUGUAUACCCUCAAUAUGGAGCCGAUUUUCAUGCAGAUUACAAAUACGACAUCUGGUGGAAUACUUCCGUACAGCAACUAUAAAUUAAACCCGGAAACGCUUGGCGUAAUAAAACAAAAACGGCGCAUGCUGCAGCAAGUUAGUCUGCUGAACUUUGAUAGCUUGCAAACGGCAUUAGUUUACCAAAUUUAGAAACAAUGCUCGGUACUGUAAUAAUGUCUUAAAUUUGCGUUGUAUUUGAUACUUUAUUAGAACAUGUUCAGCGGGUGAAGAUGCUGCUGUGUGACACUGAAAGGGAAGACUGCUUUUGUAACAGUUUAGUUAGGCAAAUGUUGUUGCCUUGCUACGUGAUGGGGACUGUUUUAGUGUGCUCACGUUUCAAGUGCGUUCAUGCUGAAGACCUUUACAUUCAAGUGUGUUUUGUUGUUCCCUAGGGAGCAACACUGGUAUUGGAAAGGCUACUGCUUUGGAUUUGACCAAGAGAGGUGCCAGGGUCAUCCCUGCCUGCCGCAGCAAACAGAAGGCAGAGGCUGCUGUCUAUGAUAUCAGAAGGGUUAGAGGAGCCUUAUAGAUGAAAUAAAUAAUGGAGCCGGGGGAACGAGGUGGUGUUCAUGCAGCUGCAUCUGGGGAGUCUGAAGUCUGUUCGGGGGAACGAGGUGGUGUUCAUGCAGCUGCAUCUGGGGAGUCUGAAGUCUGUUCUGGGGAGGGGAA
ensembl:lncRNA